UGACAUCCAGAGAAUCCUUUAGAGAUAGAGGAGUGCCUUCGGGAACUUUGAGACAGGUGCUGCAUGGCUGUCGUCAGCUCGUGUUGUGAAAUGUUGGGUUAAGUCCCGCAACGAGCGCAACCCUUAUCCUUUGUUGCCAGCGCGUAAUGGCGGGAACUCAAAGGAGACUGCCGGUGAUAAACCGGAGGAAGGUGGGGAUGACGUCAAGUCAUCAUGGCCCUUACGAGCAGGGCUACACACGUGCUACAAUGGCAGAUACAAAGAGAAGCGACCUCGCGAGAGCAAGCGGAACUCAUAAAGUCUGUCGUAGUCCGGAUUGGAGUCUGCAACUCGACUCCAUGAAGUCGGAAUCGCUAGUAAUCGUAGAUCAGAAUGCUACGGUGAAUACGUUCCCGGGCCUUGUACACACCGCCCGUCACACCAUGGGAGUGGGUUGCAAAAGAAGUAGGUAGCUU
rnacentral:rRNA from 1 species